UACGUAGGGGGCGAGCGUUGUCCGGAUUUACUGGGCGUAAAGCGCGUGUAGGCGGCCCGUUAAGUGGGGUGUGAAAGCCCGGGGCUCAACCCCGGGACGCCGCUUCAAACUGGCGGGCUUGAGGGCGGAAGAGGGGAGUGGAAUUCCUGGUGUAGCGGUGAAAUGCGUAGAGAUCAGGAGGAACACCCGUGGCGAAGGCGGCUUCCUGGUCCGUCCCUGACGCUGAGACGCGAAAGCGCGGGGAGCGAACGGG
rnacentral:rRNA from 1 species